rnacentral:tRNA from 1 species
GGGAAUGUGGCUUAGUGGUAGAGUGCUUGCCUAGCAUGCAUGAAGCCCUGUCUUCAAUUCCUCAUUGCCA